GACGAACGCUGGCGGCGUGCUUAACACAUGCAAGUCGAACGAUGAAGAAAAGAAUUGAAGCUUCGGCAGAAAUUCAUUUCGGAUUAGUGGCCGACGGGUGAGUAACGCGUGAGCAACCUACCUCUUACAAAGGGAUAGCCUCGGGAAACCGGGAUUAAUACCAUAUAACAUUGCGACGAAGCAUUUCGAUGCAAUCAAAGCUACGGCGGUAAGAGAUGGGCUCGCGUCCCAUUAACCAGAUGGUGAGGUAACGGCUCACCAUAGUAACGAUGGGUAACCGGGCGGAGAGGGUGAAAGGUCACACUGGAACUGAGACACGGUCCAGACUCCUACGGGAGGCAGCAGUGGGGAAUAUUGCACAAUGGAGGGAACUCUGAUGCAGCGACGCCGGGUGAGUGAUGAAGGAAUUCGUUUCGUAAAACUCUGUUCUAUGGGAAGAAAAGGACGGUACCAUAGGAGAAAGCUCCGGCUAAAUACGUG
rnacentral:rRNA from 1 species